rnacentral:rRNA from 1 species
CAGCCGCCGCGGUAAUACGGAGGGGGCUAGCGUUGUUCGGAAUUACUAGGCGCAAAGCGUACGUAGGCGGCUUUGUAAGUUAGAGGUGAAAGCCUGGUGCUCAACACCAGAACUGCCUUUAAGACUGCAUCGCUUGAACGUCGGAGAGGUGAGUGGAGUUCCGAGUGUAGAGGUGAAAUUCGUAGAUAUUCGGAAGAACACCAGUGGCGAAGGCGGCUCACUGGACGACUGUUGACGCUGAGGUACGAAAGCGUGGGGAGCAAACAGGAUUAGAUACCCCUGUAGUCCCUGUCUCUUAUAC